CAGACAUCUCAGUACUUAUUUGAGAGCUUACCUACCUAUUUAACUACAGAAGAGCAUAUUUUAGAAGGUCAUAUUUGAACUCUUUAUUAAAAUAAACAAAUAGCAACAACAAAACACCUUUAUAAGUUGAAAAAAGCGUGGUGAUGCAGAAUAAAAAGUGGAGGUUUGGAAUUCCAGAUAAAAAUUCCAGCUCUGCCUCUUGCUAUCAAUGGGCAAAUUAUAUAUCUCUUCCCUAAAGCUUCCGUUUCCUCAUCUAUUAAAUGUGGAAAAUACAUAGUGUGAGUCUGGCGGUGAAAAUUUAAAUAAGGCUAAUAAUGCAUGCAAAGAACUUGUUACUCCGUGCAUACAAUAUGGAUUCAGUAAAUGAUAGCUAUUAGAAAAGAGAAUCCAAACCUAGUAUGCAGGCGAACAUGAUGUGGGAUUUCAUAUCUAUUUGCUUUAUUCACAGAAAGUAGAUCAACAAGUUUUUUUCUUUUGGUGAAGAGCAGAUGGGCUCAAAAUAAACCUCUGGUUCAUCAUACACGCUCAGACAACCCUCCAGGAAAGGGAGGUUUUUGCCCUCCUUUGCAAGGUCAGUCUCUUUCCAUUUUUUCCCCAAAUCCCCCCUCACCCCCACAGGCACUUCUCUUUUAUAUGUUUAAUUACUUCAUAGCUUUUCNCAGGAAAGGGAGGUUUUUGCCCUCCUUUGCAAGAUGCAACUUGUCUCCCGAUAGAUUGAGUGAAUUACUAUCAGCAAACAAAUGAUAGUGGGAAAGAAAAGCUAUUAAUAAGAAGCAAUGAUGGAAGAAUAAGAAACGGGACAGAGAAAGAAUUGGCAACAAUAAUCCAUUACCCAGUGUUGACUAUUUACAGAAUAUUUUACUCAUAUUUUACAUCACCAUUACAGAGUAAAUGAAGAGAAUGUCUCAUUUUGUCUUCUGUCUAUAUUGGCAAGGGUCAAAAGUGUUGAGCCUCAAAGUCACUUUUAAGUAGUGAUUUGGGAGGUAUGCCCCCUUGUAGUAGCAUGCUUACCUUUAGAUAAGUCAGAAACACUGUACUCUGCUGGAAAAAAUAUAAGGGCCAGAAACAUCAGGGUCUGACCUCAAGAGAAGCAGCAGGAGAGCAAAGCCAACAUUGAUGAACCAGAUGAAGACAGAAAGAAAUGGGACAAUGGCUUAAAGUGAUCCAUGAAAACUAAUGAGAUUGGAAUAAAAUAAAAUUGGGUAAAGAGUGGAUGACUGAA
rnacentral:lncRNA from 1 species